rnacentral:rRNA from 1 species
AUUGAACGCUGGCGGCAUGCCUUACACAUGCAAGUCGAACGGUAACAGGUCUUCGGAUGCUGACGAGUGGCGAACGGGUGAGUAAUACAUCGGAACGUGCCUAGUAGUGGGGGAUAACUACUCGAAAGAGUGGCUAAUACCGCAUGAGAUCUACGGAUGAAAGCAGGGGAUCGCAAGACCUUGUGCUACUAGAGCGGCCGAUGGCAGAUUAGGUAGUUGGUGGGAUAAAAGCUUACCAAGCCGACGAUCUGUAGCUGGUCUGAGAGGACGAUCAGCCACACUGGGACGGAGAAACGGCCCAGACUCCUCCGGGAGGCAGCAGUGGGGAAUUUUGGACAAUGGGCGCAAGCCUGAACCAGCAAUGCCGCGUGCAGGAUGAAGGCCUUCGGGUUGUAGACUGCUUUUGUACGGAACGAAAAGCCCCGGGUUAAUACCCUGGGGUCAUGACGGUACCGUAAGAAUAAGCACCGGCUAACUACGUGCCAGCCGCCGCCGUAA